rnacentral:rRNA from 1 species
GACGAACGCUGGCGGCGUGCUUAACACAUGCAAGUCGAACGAUGAAGAAGAGAAACGCGAACUUCGGUUCAAAUUUCACUUCGGAUUAGUGGCAGACGGGUGAGUAACGCGUGAGCAACCUACCUCUUACAAAGGGAUAGCCUCGGGAAACCGUGAUUAAUACCAUAUGACACAUUCAUAAGGCAUCUUAAGAAUGUUAAAGCUACGGCGGUAAGAGAUGGGCUCGCGUCCCAUUAGCUAGUUGGUGAGGUAACGGCCCACCAAGGCGACGAUGGGUAACCGGCCUGAAAGGGUGAACGGUCACAUUGGAACUGAGACACGGUCCAAACUCCUACGGGAGGCAGCAGUGGGGAAUAUUGCACAAUGGAGGGAACUCUGAUGCAGCGACGCCGCGUGAGCGAUGAAGGAAUUCGUUUCGUAAAGCUCUGUUCUAUGGGAAGAAAAGGACUGUACCAUAGGAGAAAGCCCCGGCUAAAUACGUG